rnacentral:rRNA from 1 species
AACGAACGCUGGCGGCAGGCUUAACACAUGCAAGUCGAACGGAUCCUUCGGGAUUAGUGGCAGACGGGUGAGUAACGCGUGGGAACCUACCUUUAGGUACGGAACAACUCAGAGAAAUUUGGGCUAAUACCGUAUGUGAUCUUCGGAUUAAAGAUUUAUCGCCUAAGGAUGGGCCCGCGUUAGAUUAGCUAGUUGGUGAGGUAAUGGCUCACCAAGGCGACGAUCUAUAGCUGGUCUGAGAGGAUGAUCAGCCACACUGGGACUGAGACACGGCCCAG